UGAGGGAAAGGCGAAAAGAACCCCGGCGAGGGGAGUGAAAAAGAACCUGAAACCGUGUACGUACAAGCAGUGGGAGCACAGGUUUACCUGUGUGACUGCGUACCUUUUGUAUAAUGGGUCAGCGACUUAUAUUCUGUAGCAAGGUUAACCGAAUAGGGGAGCCGUAGGGAAACCGAGUCUUAACCGGGCGUUAAGUUGCAGGGUAUAGACCCGAAACCCGGUGAUCUAGCCAUGGGCAGGUUGAAGGUUGGGUAACACUAAC
rnacentral:rRNA from 1 species